GCAUACAUUUUCUUUAGGAACAUUAACAAGGAUGAAAAAUUUUAAACGAAAAGAGUCCCAAACAGACGGGGAAAUAGAUACUUUAAUUGACUGAUAUCAGAUUCUUGUGCAGGACUGAAGGGCCUAUCCCCUUUCCCAGGAAACUUCUCUCACUGGACAAGGCAGAGAGCUGGCAUGGGUUAAAGAAAGAUUGGUAGUGGAGACAGUGGUGUGGCUGGAAAUUUUGCCUCGAAUUCCCCAACGUCCCUAGGCCAACAUUUCAUCAUUUAGAAUCCAGGACUUGUGGCUGCCUAAGUCUGGGCCUCUUGAUCAGAGCCACACGGACUUCCUGAAAAAGCCGUAAUGAACAUCGACAGGAACCUGCGACCUUCGCGAGUUUCCUCCGGAGCGGUGGCGUCCGGGAGAUUUCCUGGGACGGCGCCCUGGGCGGCAAGUCCGAGGCUUUCCAGUCUCCGAAGUCAGGCCAGGCUCUCCCGGAGAGUGCUCCGGACCCUCAGGGACUUGCAGGCUGGAAUCACCUGAAAACAGGGCCGGGCAUACGUUACGACCUAGGAGCGGUUGGCUCCAGCUCAGACUGUGGAGAAAUUACUUGGCUCUGACACUCCCCCAUCACCCCCAACCAUCUCCGACCAUCAGAGACUACACUUCCCGGCAUUCCCCGCGCCCUGGACUCCUUCCGCCCUGACUGGGCCUCCUGCCGCUGAUUGGCUGCUGCCGCGCCUGGCGGAGGCUCCAGGGCUCAGAGAUGGCGUGGUAGCCGCUUGUGUGGGGCUCGGCGCAGGUGCGGGCUGAAGAGCGUGACGGUGUGCGGAUGACGACCACUUUGCGUCUGUCUGUAACUAGAUGUGCGCGUGUCUCUCUGAGGCUAGCGGGCUAUGGCAAACUGCUGAAGCGAGGUGUCGCACGCCGGCCUAAUCAGCUCUGCCAUCUCAGGAUAAUCACCCAGAAGACAACAGAUCAUUCUUGGAAUUCUAAAAGCUAUGGCUCAUGUGAGUGGAAUUGUCAUUUCCUGAGGUUUUGUUUUGUUUUUUUUUUAGGUCCUAUGUGUUCAUUGUUUAU
rnacentral:lncRNA from 1 species